GAUGAACGCUGGCGGCGUGCCUAAUACAUGCAAGUCGAGCGAACGGACGAGAAGCUUGCUUCUCUGAUGUUAGCGGCGGACGGGUGAGUAACACGUGGAUAACCUACCUAUAAGACUGGGAUAACUUCGGGAAACCGGAGCUAAUACCGGAUAAUAUUUUGAACCGCAUGGUUCAAAAGUUAAAGACGGUCUUGCUGUCGCUUAUAGAUGGAUCCGCGCUGCAUUAGCUAGGUGGCAAGGUAACGGCUUACCAAGGCAACGAUGCAUAGCCGACCUGAGAGGGUGAACGGCCACACUGGAACUGAGGCCCGGUCAAACCUCCUACGGGAGGCAGCAGUAGGUAAUCUUCCGCACUGGGCGAAAGCCUGACGGAGAAACGCCGCGUGAGUGAUGAAGGUCUUCGGAUCGUAAAACUCUGUUAUUAGGGAAGAACAUAUGUGUACGUAACUGUGCACAUCCUGACGGUACCUAAUCAGAAAGCCACGGCUAACUACGUG
rnacentral:rRNA from 1 species